UGGCGAACGGGUGAGUAACGCGUGAGGAACCUGCCUCAAAGAGGGGGACAACAGUUGGAAACGACUGCUAAUACCGCAUAAGCCCACGACCCGGCAUCGGGAAGAGGGAAAAGGAGCAAUCCGCUUUGAGAUGGCCUCGCGUCCGAUUAGCUAGUUGGUGAGGUAACGGCCCACCAAGGCAACGAUCGGUAGCCGGACUGAGGGGUUGAACGGCCACAUUGGGACUGAGACACGGCCCAG
rnacentral:rRNA from 1 species